UACAGAGGGUGCAAGCGUUAAUCGGAAUUACUGGGCGUAAAGCGUGCGUAGUCGGCUUUUUAAGUCGGGUGUGAAAUCCCCGGGCUCAACCUGGGAAUUGCAUUCGAUACUGGAUCGCUAGAGUUCGGCAGAGGGAAGCGGAAUUUCGGGUGUAGCGGUGAAAUGCGUAGAUAUCCGAAGGAACAUCAGUGGCGAAAGCGGCUUCCUGGACCAGAACUGACGAUCAGGCACGAAAGCGUGGGGAGCAAACAGG
rnacentral:rRNA from 1 species